rnacentral:lncRNA from 1 species
UGCAAAGUCAGUCUUGCUUCUUGCAGACUCUGGGAGUGAACAGCAAUAAAGGGCAUAUUCAUCAAAGGUUGGUGCUCAGAGUGAAGGACUCCAUAUGGCCUCAGACUGGAGGAGGAGGGGGGAAGAGGCCAAAGGAGAAGGAAAGGGGGAAAAUUUCACUGAGGCCAAAAGCCACGAGAGCUGCUGAAUGUCUGAAUGAGAGCAUUGCAUCAGGAGGCCUGUAUGCUAUUUUCAGAGACCACCUUCUUAACACUAUUAAGUGUUCAAGGAUAUCUAUUGAACUAAGUCCUAAGCCACCAUUUUGCAACUCUGUGAACUCACACGUAGCUGAGCAUGGAUGAGAUACUGGAAAUGUGGAUCUCUGUCAGAGAAAGCAAUUUCAAAUUUCAUUAGUUCUUUUCUAGAAUUUAACUGCUUCAGAACAUCAUGUCCAUAUCUGUGUGUGCAGUGGUUUUUCUGGAAGGGGCUCCUUGACUGAAGUCUCCAAGAACGAGUAACACAAGUAAUCCUGGUUUGUACCACACAAGCUGCUCUCUGAAUCCUGCACCAUGAAACCACAUGAAGAUUCUUACUGUGGCCACAAAUACCAAGAAUUUGGAUGGAACAGAGAAAGGAUGAAAAAUAACAUAUGUAAAGCUCACUUUCCUAUAGAAUCACUUAAUUAUUUUUACUGAUGUGGUUGGGUGUUUUGUUUUUAUUUUAUUUUGGCUCAGUAGUGGGGGUUUUAUACAGUAUUAGACUGAAAGGAAGCUCACAAAAGCAGUUGCAUCACUGCUGAACAGGCAUGCUGACACCAGAUUUUGC